rnacentral:rRNA from 1 species
ACGAACGCUGGCGGCGUGCUUAACACAUGCCAGUCGAACGGAAAGGCCCUGCUUUUGUGGGGUGCUCGAGUGGCGAACGGGUGAGUAACACGUGAGUAACCUGCCCUUGACUUUGGGAUAACUUCAGGAAACUGGGCCUAAUACCGGAUAGGAGCUCCGGCUGCAGGGGGGGGGUUGGAAAGUUUCGGCGGUUGGGGAUGGACUCGCGGCUUAUCAGCUUGUUGGUGGGGUAGUGGCUUACCAAGGCUUUGACGGGUAGCCGGCCUGAGAGGGUGACCGGCCACAUUGGGACUGAGAUACGGCCCAGACUCCUACGGGAGGCAGCAGUGGGGAAUAUUGCACAAUGGGCGGAAGCCUGAUGCAGCAACGCCGCGUGCGGGAUGACGGCCUUCGGGUUGUAAACCGCUUUCGCCUGUGACGAAGCGUGAGUGACGGUAAUGGGUAAAGAAGCACCGGCUAACUACGUG